CAUUUCCUCUUACGUGGGGCAGGUGGAGUUGAGCAUACAGACUGCUCCGUCGGGCCCUCCGAGAGAUCUACUCCCUCAGAUCUACCUCUGCUGCUUUGCCCUUUCUCCACACUCAUUUUCCUCUAUUCUCUUUCAGCUUUUUCCUCUUUGUUUCUGAUCUCCCACUAUUUUGCUUUAUCUAUCAGCCUAGACAAGGUGGGGACCUCUACUGCCAGUACUGCAUUAUAAAGCGGGAAAAUCAAGCCCCGCCUGAAUCUUUCUAUCCUG
rnacentral:lncRNA from 1 species